UACGUAGGGGGCGAGCGUUGUCCGAAGUUACUGGGCGUAAAGCGCGCGUAGGCGGUCUCUUAAGUCCGGGGUGAAAGGUUCAGCGCUCAACGCGAACAGUGCCCUGGAGACUGGGGGACUUGAGUGUGGGAGGGGGCAGUGGAAUUCCUGGUGUAGCGGUGAAAUGCGUAGAUAUCAGGAGGAACACCGAUGGCGAAGGCAGCUGCCUGGCCUAACACUGACGCUGAGGUGCGAAAGCGUGGGGAGCGAACAGG
rnacentral:rRNA from 1 species